GACGAACGCUGGCGGCGGGCUUAACACAUGCAAGUCGAACGGAAAGGCCCUGCUUGUGUGUGGUGCUCGAGUGGCGAACGGGUGAGUAACACGUGAGUAACCUGCCCUUGACUUUGGGAUAACUUCAGGAAACUGGGGCUAAUACCGGAUAGGAGCUCCUGCUGCAGGGGGGGGGUUGGAAAGUUUGGGCGGUUGGGGAUGGACUCGGGGCUUAUCAGCUUGUUGGUGGGGUAUUGGCUUACCAAGGCUUUGACGGGUAGCCGGCCUGGGAGGGUGAACACCCACCUUGGGCCUGCGGUACGGCCCAGACUCCUACGGUAGGCAGCGGUGGGGAGUAUUGCCCAGUCGGCGGACGCCUGUUGAAGAAGCGCCGCGUGCGGGAUGACGUCCUUCGGGUUGUAAACCGCUUUCACCUGUGACGAAGCGUGAGUGACGGUAAUGGGUAAAGAAGCACCGGCUAACUACGUG
rnacentral:rRNA from 1 species